rnacentral:rRNA from 3 species
UUUAUUGAGAGUUUGAUCCUGGCUCAGGACGAACGCUGGCGGCGUGCUUAACACAUGCAAGUCGAGCGAUGAAGCUCCUUCGGGAGU